AUGGACAUGGAGCACACCGACCUGUUGCUGGACAUACUCCGCCGCCUCGCUCCGCGCAGCCUGGCCGUCUCUCGAUGCGUCUGCAAGGUCUGGCGCGGCACCAUCGACCGCCAUCGUCUCCUGCGCGUCCACCUGCUCCCGCUCUCCCUCGACGGCGCCAUCUACGACGAGCUCCAGAUGGACCCGCCGGAGCUCUUCGGUCGCCGCUCCCCCACACGCUACGUCGUCACCACCAACCUCGACUACCUCGCCGACGACCCGGACUACGCCGACUACGUGCGGGACUACUGCAACGGCCUCCUCUUGAUCCAGAGCGAGAAGGACAUCGCCAAGUUGAAGGUGGUCAAUCCCGCCACACGGCAGUGGGCGGCGCUGCCCACGCUGCCAUGCGCGUGCUCGUGGCCGGCGGGGAGCUGCCGGCGCUGCCGCAAUAACCGCUACCUCGUCUAUGACCCCACCGUCUCGCCACACCACGAGGUCUUCUUCAUCCCUCGUGUUCCCGCUGAUGUGCCAGCCGACACGGAGUGGCCACCUUCGCUGUAUGUCAUGCAUGUCUUCUCGUCAAAGACAAACUGUUGGGAGGACAAGUCAUUUGUGCGACAAGGCGAUGCUGCCGGAACAAUCCAAGAUGUGAUAUCAUGCUAUGAUUCUGACCGGGGUAUGUACAACGCCGCGUAUUGGCAAGGGUCACUCUACGUGCCUUCCAGGCACAUAAAACAUGAUUUUCUUUUGAGCAUAUAUUUAGUAAAGAUUGGCACCAUGGACCAUGGAUUCCAGUCCCGUGACCAGAUAGAGUUAUUGAAGAAUGAUGCCAACCUUAACCUUGUAGAUGAGUACAACGAAGAUGUGGUGGAAGAUGGAUUUGAUUGGGACUCUGAUGAUAAAAAAUGGUGUUAG
rnacentral:rRNA from 1 species